CCCUUUAUUCCGUGUUACGAGUGCCGAACAGUCAAUCCUGCAGUGUCUGCCACAGAAUGAAUUGCUCUGAUAACCAGAUCGUCCACAGGUGGAAAGCCCUUGAGAUCUUCCCGUUUAUAUUCGCCGAACCCGAGAGCCGCUUGAGAGUAUCACUCACAAACCGUUGCAUGUGAAACUGUGAACUCUCUCUCAGGCUUUUAUCAGAGGCCGAAAUGGAGGAAUGAGACAAAUGGACCCCAAACUGAGCACAUAAACUCAACAGCGCAUCUAAAGCCGACGGAAGAACAUUUAUUUUCUCCCUAAUGAAAAGGAUUUUUCCUCCUCGUGGGCUUGAGGUGAUAAAGACUUCUGGAAGCCUUGGAAGAAAUGAAACAGCUUUGUUAGACACCAUCUCCCCGUCUGCUUUGAAAUGAAUUACUAAAUUAAGCCACCAAAGGACAUUUUCAACUCCCCAUUCUCCUCCCUGUAUUUGUUUCCUAUGUAAAUGGAAAUUAGGUUUUCUCCAUUUGUCCUCCCAGACACUUCCAUGCAAAAUUCUCUAGCCAAGUCCUCAGCUGGCCUCCCACAUUCAAUUAUGUUUCCCUCAGCUGAAAGAUUGAGGUGCCUCAUGCAAACUAAUUUUAACUCUCAGACAAUUUAAAAGGCUGGCACUUGUUCUGCACCCUAGAUGAUUCCUUCUGCUUUGAGGCCAGAAAGAUCUAUUUCCAUUUCAUACGAGUGACCCAAAUAUGGGUGAUGCAUAGGGCAUGGAGUGAGCAGGGAAUUCAAAGGAACAUUUCGCAUGGUUUGUGUGUCUCCUAAGAAAUUUCAAUGUAUAUUCACACCCCUUCCAUCUUUACCGGAAAAUGUGUGAAUUCUCUUUUUUUUUUACUUCUCUUAAUCUGUUGAAUAUAAUGUUGGAAAUGUCUCUAUUUAUGUUCUGCUCAGUUCCUAAGCUGUUCCUUGAAUAGCCACCAUGCUGAGCAGAAACGUCUGCAUUGGUUGCCUGUCUUUUUCUCCUGAAAUAAUGGGCUUUCGGUUUUUCCAGAAGAUUCUCUUGCCCUGACUUUGGAAAGCCACUGGUACAAAAGAAGCCCCCUUGCUGGGCCCCAGGAGCUUCAGAGAGGGGAGGUCAGAGUGAAGGCAGCUUCGGGGAUGCAGUUUUUUGGAGUUAGUUUUUUUCCCUGUCUAAAUCUGUCUUUUAUGAAUUCAGUAUCAUUUGUGAG